GGGGAAUAUUGGACAAUGGGGGGAACCCUGAUCCAGCCAUGCCGCGUGUGUGAAGAAGGCCUUAUGGUUGUAAAGCACUUUAAGCGAGGAGGAGGCUCUUUUGGUUAAUACCCAAGAUGAGUGGACGUUACUCGCAGAAUAAGCACCGGCUAACUCUGUGCCAGCAGCCGCGGUAAUACAGAGGGUGCGAGCGUUAAUCGGAUUUACUGGGCGUAAAGCGUGCGUAGGCGGCUUUUUAAGUCGGAUGUGAAAUCCCCGAGCUUAACUUGGGAAUUGCAUUCGAGACUGGCGCGCUCGAGGACAGGAGAGGGCGGUGGAACUCCAUGUGUAGCGGUAAAAUGCGUAGAUAUAUGGAAGAACACCAGUGGCGAAGGCGGCCGCCUGGACUGUUACUGACGCUCAGGCACGAAAGCGUGGGGAGCAAAUA
rnacentral:rRNA from 1 species